ensembl:ncRNA E02C12.15 ncRNA
GGAAGAGCGCAAAACGGUUUUAAAAUAGAAAAACGACGAGGUCGGCCAGAAAACUAAAACCGGAGGCGGCGGGUGGAAGAUCAAAAAAGAAUGCGCCUCGUGGAGUCAAUUGCGAACACAAAAAAUUCAGCAGAGCCUCUCUG